GAUGAACGCUGGCGGCGUGCCUAAUACAUGCAAGUCGAGCGAACAGACGAGGAGCUUGCUCCUUUGACGUUAGCGGCGGACGGGUGAGUAACACGUGGGUCACCUACCUAUAAGACUGGGAUAACUUCGGGAAACCGGAGCUAAUACCGGCUAAUAUUUCGAACCGCAUGGUUCGAUAGUGAAAGAUGGCUCUGCUAUCACUUAUAGACGGACCUGCGCCGGAUUAGCUAGUUGGUAAGGUAACGGCUUACCAAGGCAACGAUACGUAGCCGACCUGAGAGGGUGAUCGGCCACACUGGAACUGAGACACGGUCCAGACUCCUACGGGAGGCAGCAGUAGGGAAUCUUCCGCAAUGGGCGAAAGCCUGACGGAGCAACGCCGCGUGAGUGAUGAAGGUCUUCGGAUCGUAAAACUCUGUUAUUAGGGAAGAACAAACGUGUAAGUAACUGUGCACGUCUUGACGGUACCUAAUCAGAAAGCCACGGCUAACUACGUG
rnacentral:rRNA from 1 species